ensembl:antisense
GUAGCCAAGAGAAGCCAAUUUAAAGAUCAUUAAGCAAUACAUUUUCCUGAAAGCUGGAAAGGGGGGUAAGGCAAAUAAGUGUGUCAGUCCGAAAGGCAACUGGUAACUCCAUCUUCAUCUCUGCCUUUGCCCCAACAGUGGCUCAGUCCCUGGAAGACUCCAGUGCAACUGUUGCAAACGUCCUUAUGCUUUCCCAGGAAGAACUUUACUACCCGAGCCAUUUCCUCAGUCGCAGGUCACCUUGAUGGAUGGAACAUUACCUUCACCAUCCCAAGUCCACUGCCAAUGUUGCCCAGGUCGACCACAUAGUUGCCUCCUGGAGACUCUCUUGACAGGACACCAGCGAUCACUGCAGGAUCCAUACAGUAUUUCUGGCCAACAAGUCUCAUGGUGGGUUGAUGUCUCAGAAGAUAUGGCCUGUCAACUUCGGCCAGCCGUUCAGAGGCACGGACUCCUGCGGCAAAUGCAGAAAGAAGGACGUGGCUAAUGGUGAUUCAGGCGUAGUCUUAGAUGUAUGACUGAAAACCCCAAGCCUAAACCCCUGAUCUCAGAUUAAGACUUUGUCUGUGAACCAGAGCCGACACCUCAUGCAACUUGUGAUGUUAGAAUUCUCUGUGGCCACCGGUGGUCAUGAUCUGGGCUCUGAUCCCUUCCGUGACAAUUCUGCAGGCACGAGCACCACUGGUCCAAUCCUGAGAACCCCAGAGAAGGUUUCCCAAUAAAAUACAUGGAGCCAGCCCAUAAAGGAGAAAGACUUCCUGGACAGCUUUGCUCACAACUGCCAAUCCUUCAACCCCUAUGUGAUGCCAAGAAAUCCUGCAGUCGCUGAAACAGUUAAGAGGAAUGAAGAGCGAUGCUGGUUUGCAUGGGUUCGCCUCCAUUCUAGUUUCUUCUUCAAUUUAAGAAGCAACUAACUCUCACCCCAUGAUACGGAGCCCAUAAAAUCCCUGCAAAGACGGCUCUCCCGGCUUCAGGAGAACCCUGAGAGCUAUCUGACUAAGUAGAGCCAGGGCUCAGCCGAGGGUUGGGAGUGGGGGUUGAGUGCUCCUUCCUCCCACUCCUUAGUGUAGGACUGUGAGGAGCAGUGAGAGUCAAGAGAGAGGAGUGGACACAGAGCGUGUUAACUACCGCAGUAGGUCAGGCCGUAGCGUCUUCCAAUCCUGCAGGAGGCUCCUGGGGUGUUCAGGGUGCGGAUGUUCCCAUAGCAUCCCCACCCGCUGCUUUCCGAGGAGCCUGCGGAUCGAGAAAAGUUCAGCCUUAGGGACUGGGUUGGAAUGCUGUGACUGAAUCGCAUCAGUAACCUCAGGGAGAGCUAGAGUCCUGCCCUGUGCUUGAAUCGCUUGAAAUUAAACCAUCAGUACACCAGGAAAGUAUCACAAGGCUGGUUUAAGUUUUCCCCUCCUUUCCACCGACUCCAGGAACCCCUGGAACAGUUGCUUCUCUGCAAAGCUCAAGGGCUGUCUCAUCACUCAUUGGUCUGGUGAGGUACUCGUGUUUGCUCUGGAGAAACACACAUUUGAAAGCCAGGGCCCUUUGGGGUCUCCAUCCUGACCCCAAGUACAGGCAUGGUCUUUGAACAGGGAUUGGUUUGGCUUCAACUUCUCCUACAGAAUUCUGGGCAGGGACCAAAGGUUGCAGAGAGAGGGUGUGCAGACAGUCAUAGGAUCAGGUCUCCAUAGGAGGUCCCCUCUAUCAUCAUCUCUCUCUUCUGUCUCGCAUCUCUCUCCCAAGAUGUCGGCCACUGUGAUUCUAGACAUCACCGAAGGGGAGGCAUUGCUUUAAUUAAUUACUUGACUAAUUAAUUAAUGUUUUUGAAACAAGCUUGUAAUGGUUUGUAUAUGCUUGGCCCAGGAAGUGGCACUAUUAGGGGUCUGGCCUAUGUUGGAAUACAUGUGUCACUGUGGGUGUGGGCUUCAUUCUAACUGCCUAGAAGUCGAUCUUCUCCUAGCAGCCUUUAGAACAAAAGGUGGAACUCUCAGCUCCUCCAGCCUUACAUCUGCCUGCAUGCUGCCGUGUUCCCCCCAUGAUGACAGUGGACUGAACCUCUGAACCUAUGAGCCAUCCCCAAUUAAGUGUCUUCUUUAUAAGAGUUGUCUUGGUCAUGGUGUCUGUUCUCAGCAGUGAAAUCCUAAGACAAGGCUUCAUGCAGCCCAGGUUGUCAACUGUGUUGUUAAGGAUUAUCCUGAACCCCUGGGUUUCCUGCCCUAACCACCCAAGUGCUGAGAUCACAAGACUGUAAUGAGCAGCAAAGCCCAGAAAUCCUCCUGCCUGUAAAAAUUAUGCAGGCAUCCUUUUAAUGUCUUAGCCGGCACACUUCUGUCUCCAUGACUGUUGGAUUUUGUUACUCAUAUCCCAGUCUCUCUAUGGAAAGAUGUAGUCUCUAAACAGAUUCAGUGUUUGAUGGUUGAUCUUUAUUGCCAUGUUGGUGGAGAUGUACAGUCACCAUGGAAGCGAAUCCCUCACGUGUCUGUGAGGGAUUAUCUGGAUCAGGUAAAUUGAGCUGGGAAGACCUAUCCUGUAUGUGGGUGUUAGCCUCUCAUGGGCGCUGUCCUGGGCUGAAUCAAAAGGAGAAAAUGAGCCACAUAGUCACAUCCAUCCCCACUCUUCCUGAUGACAACUGUUAUGUUGCCAGCCACCUCAAGCCGUGCCCUCUUCCUGUGGCUUCCCACGAUGGACUAUAUUCUCAAACAAGGAUCCAAAUUUAGCCCUUCCUUUUUAAAGUUGCUUUUGUAGGGUACUUUGCCCCAGCCAUGAGCAAAGUCACACUGUGGUGGUAAGACUUUUUAUAGCAGCAAUGAGCAGUUAACUGUGGUAAAUGUUUAAAGACCGGUUUCAAGCAAUGUGAUUUUAAGUGCACAGAAAUUGUAGGGAACUACUGCUUAUCGACAGUUAUUCCUAACUCUGGAUCUAUCAGACAUCUUAGGAGAAGAGCAACGCCUUCACUUUAGUUAUGGAAACAGAAGGUAUAGCAUUGCCUUUUUAUGUAUUUUCCUGUCUGUUUCCAAGUUACUUGGGGGAAAAAAUGCAACACACUCACCAGUCAGGGCCAGGAGGCCUAGAAGCAGCCACAGUGGAGACAUGUUGAGUAUCGGGCUCUACAGCACCUGAAAUGCUUUCAAAAUUAAAAUCAGCUUAAAGGUUGGAGAGAAGAGCACAGCUUCCUCUCUGCCUUGGAAUACACCCUGGGUCUUUACUUUGGAUGAUGGAAGGAAGAAGACGACAGAGGGAGCAUGUGGCCCUACAGCAAGCCAUGCUUUCUGCUUAUCUUUCCUACAGCAUCGAGAUGCUCUGUCUGACUGCCCUUGGCUCAGCAGAAGAUGUCAUGCUCAGUGACCAGAAUGUUAGGAACUUGUAAUGUUAGCUGUAACUGCUCAGAUUUCUUCCCUCAACGGAAACCAUGUAGUCAGCAUUUCUGAUUCCCUAGGAACGAAUGUAAGAGGAGACAUUGGAUCUCCAAAAGGAACUGGCAUAAGAGCCACUAAGGU